rnacentral:misc_RNA from 1 species
GAUGAAGAACGUAGCGAAAUGCGAUAAGUAAUGUGAAUUGCAGAAUUCAGUGAAUCAUCGAAUCUUUGAACGCAUCUUGCGCUCCUUGGUAUUCCUUGGAGCAUGCCUGUUUGAGUAUCAUGAGCAAAUCUCAAAGUCAAUUCCUUUUGUUAAUUCAAUUGGUUUUGCUUUGGACUUGGAGGUCUUGCAGAUUUCACAGUCUGCUCCUCUUAAAUGCAUUAGCUGGAUCUCAGUAAUUAUGCUUGGUUCCACUCGGCGUGAUAAGUAUCACUCGCUGAGGACACUGUUAAAAAGGUGGCCAGGGAAAUACUGAUUGAACCGCUUCUAACGGUCUAUUAAGUUAGACAAUUACCCUUAAGUUUGAUCUCAAAUCAGGUAGGACUACCCGCUGAACUUAAGCAUAUCAAUAAGCGGAGGA